ensembl:snRNA U4 U4 spliceosomal RNA
AAACAAGUGCAGUGGUAGUAUUGUAGCCAAUGAGGUUUACCCGAGGCACGAUUAUUGCUAAUUGAAAACUUCUCCCAAUACCCCACCAUGACGACUCGAAAUACAGUGGGCACUGUCAAUUUUUGGUAGUCUCUACAGAGA